CCCUGUGUGGUCCCGCUAAGGAUCCCAGUUAGGCCAGAACUCCAGGGACAGUCGGGGAAGGGGAUCCCCCCUGCAAAUGGCUGGGUGCGCUUGGGCUCCCCAACCACGGCGCCCCAAGAGUACGGCUAAACGGAGUCUCCUGGCUGGCUCGCCAUAUUGUUAUGAAAAAUGUACCCCAAAAUGCGUUGCCUUUUAAGAAGGACAGACGCGGGUCGGAAGCUCCAAAAUUUGCACUAAGUUCAGCUCCGCCGGGAAAAUGACAGAGACCACACAAUGCUGUCAGGAAAAACAAACUGAUCCCUUUAUUGCAGAAUGCAAAACUACAGCUGUAGGGUCCCUGCCUCUGGAAAGAAGGAAGGAACCCCGGGAAAUGGUGGGCAAUCCUUCGAGAUGGGCGCAGGAGUGGAGCGAUUUCCUGACGAUUUCCAUGAGGUAAUUUUGGCAGGUGUUUUCCUUGAGGCCGCGGAAAGAUGGACUAUGGCAUGUUUAAUUUGAAUAAAGUUGUCAAGCUAA